rnacentral:rRNA from 1 species
UACGGGGGAUCCUAGUGUUAUCCGGAUUUAUUGGGUUUAAAGGGAGCGUAGGCGGGAGGUCAAGUCAGCUGUGAAAUGUAUCUGCUUAACGGGUACACUGCAGUUGAAACUGGUUUUCUUGAGUGCGUAAGAGGCAGGCGGAAUUCGUCGUGUAGCGGUGAAAUGCUUAGAUAUGACGAGGAACUCCUAUUGCGAAGGCAGCUUGCUGGGUCGUUACUGACGCUGAUGCUCGAAGGUGCGGGGAUCAAACAGGAUUAGAUACCCU